rnacentral:Y_RNA from 1 species
GGCCGGUCUGAGUUCAGUGGUGUUAAGUAAUCAUAGCCAGUUACAGAUUUCCUUGUUUCUUCACCCCCACUGCUUCACUUGACUAGCCUUAA